GUCGUGAGAUGUUGGGUUAAGUCCCGCAACGAGCGCAACCCCUGUCGCAUGUUGCCAGCAUUAAGUUGGGGACUCAUGCGAGACUGCCGGUGACAAACCGGAGGAAGGUGGGGAUGACGUCAAGUCAUCAUGCCCCUUAUGUCCAGGGCUACACACGUGCUACAUUGGCCGGUACAAAGGGCUGCGAUACCGCGAGGUGGAGCGAAUCCCAAAAAGCCGGUCUCGGUUCGGAUUGGAGGCUGAAACUCGCCUCCAUGAAGGCGGAGUUGCUAGUAAUCCCGGAUCAGCAACGCCGGGGUGAAUACGUUCCCGGGCCUUGUACACACCGCCCGUCACACCACGAAAGCGGGCAACACCCGAAGCCGGUGACCCAACCCUUACGGGAGGGAGCCGUCGAAGGUGGGGCUCGUGAUUGGGGUGAAGUCGUAACAAGGUAGCCGUACCGGAAGGUGCGGCUGGAUCACCUCCUUUCUAGGGAGCUCUUGACUAGAGCCCGCCGCACCGGCCUCAUGGCCGGCCCGGCGUCCUAGCAUGUCGACCGAACCUGGUCGGCCCAACCGUCCCUUGGGGCGGAGGUCGCGUACUGCUGAGUUUUGAGAGACCGGGCGGGGAGUCCCCUCGCUUGCGCCCUCGCCGGACCUUGAAAACUGCACAGUUGGCCAACAAGACGGGUAGAUAACACCCGCUUGCGUCCGAGGCUUCGGUCCGGACGCAGCGAUCACCGUCAAGAUAUUAAGGGCACACGGUGGAUGCCUUGGCAUCAGGAGUCGAAGAAGGGCGUGGACGGCUGCGAUAAGCCGCGGUGAGCUGCUGAACAGGCUUUGACCCGCGGAUGC
rnacentral:sRNA from 1 species